UACGGGGGGGGCAAGCGUUGUUCGGAAUUACUGGGCGUAAAGGGAGCGUAGGCGGGUUUUUAAGUCAGGUGUUUAAUCCCGGGGCCCAACCCCGGACAGGCACUUGAAACUGGGAAUCUUGAAUAGUGGAGAGGUCAGUGGAAUUGGGGGUGUAGCGGUGGAAUGCGUAGAGAUCCCCAAGAACACCCGUUGCGAAGGCGGCUGACUGGACACAUAUUGACGCUGAGGCUCGAAAGCAUGGGGAGCAAACAGG
rnacentral:rRNA from 1 species